GGACUUACCAUUGAGUUGGGAAAAUAUCAAGUCAAGAACAAGCUGGACAGAACUGAACACAUGAAAGGAUAGAAUAUACACAUUAUGUCGGCAGAGAAGAAAGGGCAGAGUGACUAGCCCAGAGAUCCAGACCCAGCCUCAAUGCUCCCACCUGCAACUGUUUAACAGCAACUAAACCUUUCCUGGACACAGGUUCCUCAAGGGCUGAACAUUUGAGAAACCUAUUAUCAUUAUCAACCUAUUAUCAACAAAGAUGUUAUCAUUGUCUACUGGUUGCUUCUCUCUCUGGGCUUGUUAAGGUAGAGCUGUCAGAGACUUGUAAGGUGGGUGUGGGCAAGGGGUUGGACUCAGAGACCCAUCUGUAGGCUCAGGGGCUGGCCCUAGCCUGGGCACAUUGGCCUUCAGGCCUAACAGCCUCAAGUCUUCUAUGGAGUCUUGAUGCAUCUGGUGGGAAGACACUGGGGAGGGGACUAAGUUCCCUAAUUUCUUAAAUCUUCUCAAACCUGAGGGAGACUUCAUAAAGCCUUUAAAGUACAUUAACUGAACUUCAACACCUGGGCAACAAUGAGUGGCAUCUAAUGUUAUAAUCGUAUCUCUCCUUUGCAGCAAGACACCUAAGUUGAUCCUGGAGCUGCCACUUCUCCUUUACUUCCACGUACUGUUUCUACCCAUUCCCCCAGCCCAACACCUCCAGGCGUGACUCUUUUCUAGCCAGAUCCUCAGCCAAAUGCUAGAAACACAAUGCUGUAAGCAGACAAGGAGGGAAAAAUCAAAGUGCAGGCAGUAAGCCUCCUACCCUGCAGCAAAUCAUACAUGGACAAACGCAGGGUCCAUUCAUCCUUUCUUUCACACUGUUGUUGUUGCUCAUCUCUAUUUCAUCUCAACUACUCCAAAGACAGGAGGAGGCCAAGGUCUAUAGUAUUUUAAAGGAGAGUUCUCAUACUCUAGACUAAUAAAGCC
rnacentral:lncRNA from 1 species